UACGAAGGGGGCUAGCGUUGCUCGGAAUCACUGGGCGUAAAGGGUGCGUAGGCGGGUCUUUAAGUCCGGGGUGAAAUCCUGGAGCUCAACUCCAGAACUGCCUUUGAUACUGAAGAUCUUGAGUUCGGGAGAGGUGAGUGGAACUGCGAGUGUAGAGGUGAAAUUCGUAGAUAUUCGCAAGAACACCAGUGGCGAAGGCGGCUCACUGGUCCGGUACUGACGCUGAGGUGCGAAAGCGUGGGGAGCAAACAGG
rnacentral:rRNA from 1 species